ACAAGUGCUAUAUAAACAACAACAACUCACGAAUUUCAUCCUCCCGAAAAACUAAUCAAUUUAUCGCGUUAAUCUCAGGCAGUUCACUCACUGCCUCUCUCGCCAGAUCCAUCUCUCAGGGAUCGAAAACUAGAAAGAGAAAUGGGGCUGACAUUCACGAAGCUCUUCAGCCGGCUUUUCGCCAAGAAGGAAAUGCGCAUUCUGAUGGUUGGCCUUGAUGCUGCUGGUAAGACCACCAUUCUGUACAAGCUUAAGCUCGGAGAGAUUGUAACUACCAUUCCUACCAUCGGUUUUAACGUGGAGACUGUUGAGUACAAGAACAUCAGCUUCACUGUUUGGGAUGUCGGUGGUCAGGACAAGAUCCGUCCAUUGUGGAGGCACUACUUCCAAAACACUCAAGGGCUCAUAUUUGUGGUGGAUAGCAAUGACAGGGAUCGUGUUGUGGAGGCAAGGGAUGAAUUGCACAGGAUGUUGAAUGAGGAUGAGCUGAGAGAUGCUGUAUUGCUUGUAUUUGCGAACAAACAAGAUCUUCCCAAUGCAAUGAAUGCUGCUGAAAUAACAGACAAGCUUGGCCUGCACUCGCUGAGGCAGCGUCACUGGUACAUCCAGAGCACCUGUGCUACCUCCGGAGAGGGGCUUUACGAGGGUCUCGACUGGCUCUCAAACAACAUUGCUAACAAGGCAUAAUGCUUUAUGGAAUUGUUUAUGCGUUGAUGCUGGAUGCGAGUUGGUUUUUAUCUAGUCUUAUACCUACAUAUAGUUUGUGUGUGAUGAAUUUUAAUACGAGUCUUUUGGUUUUUGUUUAGGACUUCUUAUGCUAUUAUCACAGAGCUAAGUUUUAUGUGAUUGCAAACAUAUGUGUACUUAUAUAAUGCUAUUGAUACCUUAUCUGAUUUUGAUUGAAAUUCU